rnacentral:rRNA from 1 species
UACGAAGGGGGCGAGCGUUGUUCGGAUUUACUGGGCGUAAAGGGCGCGUAGGUGGCCUUGUCAGUCAGGCGUGAAAGCCCCGGGCUCAACCUGGGAACGGCGCUUGGGACGGCGAGGCUGGAGUUCGGGAGAGGAGAGUGGAAUUCCCAGUGUAGAGGUGAAAUUCGUAGAUAUUGGGAAGAACACCGGUGGCGAAGGCGGCUCUCUGGACCGACACUGACGCUGAGGCGCGAAAGCGUGGGGAGCAAACAGG